UACACGGAAUCAUUGUUUAGCAAUAGCACGCUGACAAUUUCACAGGUCGCUUCAGUGCUAUUUUCUAUUUACAAGCCGUGGUAGUUUAAUUAUCGACAUUAUGUUAUUUUUUGUUGAAAAUAGCAAUAUCAAGUGUCCUUCGUAGUCGCUUCAUAAAAAGUCAAUUCUCUUUGUACCGAAAAUUAAAACCCAUUCAAUUGCUGUCUUUCGCUGAAAUUGUUAAAUUACUAACGACCUAGACGGAUUCCAAACAAAAAACGGAAAACAAAUUUUUUUUUUUUUGUCAAACGAUUUUUUUUACUAUCUGUGUUCAGCGGAAUGUACAACUUUAACCCUUCCGAUAGUUUAAAAAAAUCCCAGUAUCAAAGGGAGUAAAAAGUAACAAAAAGCUUCCGUUGAAUGCUACGACUUGUAGCCACAUUUUUUAGUCCCUAACAAUUAUAGCGAGAUAUAU